rnacentral:rRNA from 2 species
GAAGGUGGCCUGUGAGGGUUGCUGGAGGUAUCAGAAGUGCGAAUGCUGACAUAAGUAACGAUAAAGCGGGUGAAAAGCCCGCUCGCCGGAAGACCAAGGGUUCCUGUCCAACGUUAAUCGGGGCAGGGUGAGUCGACCCCUAAGGCGAGGCCGAAAGGCGUAGUCGAUGGGAAACGGGUUAAUAUUCCCGUACUUGGUGUUACUGCGAAGGGGGGACGGAGAAGGCUAUGUUGGCCGGGCGACGGUUGUCCCGGUUUAAGCGUGUAGGUGUGUGUUCCAGGUAAAUCCGGUUCACUUUAACACUGAGGCGUGAUGACGAGGCACUACGGUGCUGAAGCAACAAAUGCCCUGCUUCCAGGAAAAGCCUCUAAGCAUCAGGUAACAUCAAAUCGUACCCCAAACCGACACAGGUGGUCAGGUAGAGAAUACCAAGGCGCUUGAGAGAACUCGGGUGAAGGAACUAGGCAAAAUGGUGCCGUAACUUCGGGAGAAGGCACGCUGACACGUAGGUGAAGUGAUUUACUCAUGGAGCUGAAGUCAGUCGAAGAUACCAGCUGGCUGCAACUGUUUAUUAAAAACACAGCACUGUGCAAACACGAAAGUGGACGUAUACGGUGUGACGCCUGCCCGGUGCCGGAAGGUUAAUUGAUGGGGUCAGCGCAAGCGAAGCUCCUGAUCGAAGCCCCGGUAAACGGCGGCCGUAACUAUAACGGUCCUAAGGUAGCGAAAUUCCUUGUCGGGUAAGUUCCGACCUGCACGAAUGGCGUAAUGAUGGCCAGGCUGUCUCCACCCGAGACUCAGUGAAAUUGAACUCGCUGUGAAGAUGCAGUGUACCCGCGGCAAGACGGAAAGACCCCGUGAACCUUUACUAUAGCUUGACACUGAACAUUGAGCCUUGAUGUGUAGGAUAGGUGGGAGGCUUUGAAGUGUGGACGCCAGUCUGCAUGGAGCCGACCUUGAAAUACCACCCUUUAAUGUUUGAUGUUCUAACGUGGACCCGUAAUCCGGGUUGCGGACAGUGUCUGGUGGGUAGUUUGACUGGGGCGGUCUCCUCCUAAAGAGUAACGGAGGAGCACGAAGGUUGGCUAAUCCUGGUCGGACAUCAGGAGGUUAGUGCAAUGGCAUAAGCCAGCUUGACUGCGAGCGUGACGGCGCGAGCAGGUGCGAAAGCAGGUCAUAGUGAUCCGGUGGUUCUGAAUGGAAGGGCCAUCGCUCAACGGAUAAAAGGUACUCCGGGGAUAACAGGCUGAUACCGCCCAAGAGUUCAUAUCGACGGCGGUGUUUGGCACCUCGAUGUCGGCUCAUCACAUCCUGGGGCUGAAGUAGGUCCCAAGGGUAUGGCUGUUCGCCAUUUAAAGUGGUACGCGAGCUGGGUUUAGAACGUCGUGAGACAGUUCGGUCCCUAUCUGCCGUGGGCGCUGGAGAACUGAGGGGGGCUGCUCCUAGUACGAGAGGACCGGAGUGGACGCAUCACUGGUGUUCGGGUUGUCAUGCCAAUGGCACUGCCCGGUAGCUAAAUGCGGAAGAGAUAAGUGCUGAAAGCAUCUAAGCACGAAACUUGCCCCGAGAUGAGUUCUCCCUGAGACUUAGAGUCUCCUGAAGGAACGUUGAAGACGACGACGUUGAUAGGCCGGGUGUGUAAGCGCAGCGAUGCGUUGAGCUAACCGGUACUAAUGAACCGUGAGGCUUAACCUUACAACGCCGAAG